rnacentral:ncRNA from 1 species
GUUUCGGGGCGGGGUGAGAGUCCCCACCGGCGGUUAAAGUCCGCGAGCGGCUUUUUGGCUGCCGAAUCGGUGUAAUUCCGAUACCGACGGUAUAGUCCGGAUGAAAGAACA